CAGUCGCCGCGGUAAUGCGAAGGGUGCAAGCGUUAAUCGGAAUUACUGGGCGUAAAGCGUGCGUAGGCGGUGAGUUAAGUCUGCUGUGAAAUCCCCGGGCUCAACCUGGGAAUGGCAGUGGAUACUGGCUCGCUAGAGUGUGUCAGAGGAUGGUGGAAUUCCGCGUGUAGCAGUGAAAUGCGCAGAUAUGCGGAGGAACACCGAUGGCGAAGGCAGCCCCCUGGGCCAACACUGACGCUCAUGCACGAAAGCGUGGGGAGCAAACAGGAUUAGAUACCCCCGUAGUCCCUGUCUCUUAUAC
rnacentral:rRNA from 1 species